UACGUAGGGCGCAAGCGUUAUCCGGAAUUAUUGGGCGUAAAGAGCUCGUAGGCGGUUUGUCGCGUCUGCCGUGAAAGUCCGGGGCUCAACUCCGGAUCUGCGGUGGGUACGGGCAGACUAGAGUGAUGUAGGGGAGACUGGAAUUCCUGGUGUAGCGGUGAAAUGCGCAGAUAUCAGGAGGAACACCGGUGGCGAAGGCGGUGGGCUGGGCCGGAACUGACGCUGAGGAGCGAAAGUGUGGGGAGCGAACAGG
rnacentral:rRNA from 1 species